rnacentral:lncRNA from 1 species
GUUCUAUAAGGGGAGCUUUCCUGCACAAACUCUUUCUUUGCCUGCUGCCAUCCAUCUAAGAUGUGACUUGCCUCUCCUUGUCUUCCACCAUGAUUGUGAGGCUUUCCCAGUCACAUGGAACUCUUUUGGGUGGAGGCCCAGAGAGCUCCACAAGGGGUGAUGUGUGUUUAAGAAACUCAGCUAAAGGAAACAAACUGAUUGCAAAGAACUCUGAACCUAGGGUGUUGGGGGAAAUGCUGAGCAUUGUAAUUGGCCUAAUGCUGCUCCUGUGAGAGAUGCCAUCUCCCUAGGCCUCCAAAGUUCUGGCAGGGAUUUUAACUCUUCUCAUCCAGCUGAUGACAGACAAAUAUUCAUCACUUCAACAGUUAGGUGCAACCCCCAAAAUGUUUCCUCAAGUCCUUCCUCACUGCAAAUGCCUACCAGCUCAUCUCUGAAGAUGGAAAAGCAAGCGUGGUGACAUCUGCAAAUCUGGACAGUGGGCUUUAGGAUUCAUCUGAAAAGAAAGGCUCUUGGACAGUGCUGGACCUUGCUCCCUGAGCCAGGCUGUGGGUCCAGUGGUGACUCAGGAAGGAAUGCCACUGACAAGCCACAGGCAUGCCAGAGAAUUACUCAGCACAAGCCAACAAGUAACCUCAUACGAGAAUCAAACGCCAGCCAAUCUGCGAACGCUUUGCGUAACAGCAUAUUUGGAUUUGGGGCUUAGCUUUCAGGCUUGAGUUUCACGUUUGCCUGAGCAUACUCCCAGCCUCCCAGGGCCCCUUCUGUGUGCCCUGCCUCUGAUUGCAAGUGCAGAGAGCAGUUCUCCCAAGAGCCAGGGCUCAGCUCACCCCUGCAGGUAACGCAGACCUCUGCUAGGGAUCAGCUGUCUAUCAUCUGGUGGCGCCCCUCUUUCCAGCCAGCGCUACAUCUUCAUAUGCCUUUUCUUACCAACAGGUCAGCAAUGUGGGUGACAGAUACUUCUUUUUGCUGUUGGAACACUUCAUAUUCAUCUCUGGUAUUGUCAUGGCCUUUGACAUACCUUACCAACAAGAGAGGUUUGUUGACUGAUGACAGCAGGUAUAACAAAAUCUAACUAGUGACAGUUGUAAGAAUUGGCAAAGUAUUACUGCAUCAACAGGUAUGUGGACUGUCUAAGAGCCUCAGAAAGGACAAAGAAAGAAGCUUACAGAUUCCGAUGCCCCUUACUACUGUAUCUGGCCUUUCUCCUGCCGGUAUAGUGAGAGUUGACAGUUUGAUGGAUUUAAUUUAGGAUCUAUGUUAGGAUGAGAUGCACUCUGUUUUCCUAAACAAAUUUGCUGCAGAAUGGCAGCCACAGUCUAGGGCCUCCUUGAGCUUGAGGCUAAAUGACCUGAUGGCCCACCCACUUCAUCUAUACUGCCUUUAAUAUGUCAGCAUUUCCUCAAGGCCUGGGUUUCGUGCACUCAGGGUGAUAUUGAACAUGAAGUUUUCAAACAGCAAUACCUUGGGUAACAGACAAGGGCUAGUUAAUGAUCUCAUUCAUAAUUCAUCCCGUGAAGGAACCAUUUACACUCAAACUCCAAGCAGGAAGAAAAUAUUCCCAUUAGGUAGGGCUUUUUAAAUGCCUCUGCCUUUGCCACAGUGCUGAGAGAGAACUGUGGUCUUCAGUAGUAAGGGCAUAUGGCUGCAAACAGAGUGCCCAGGUUAGAGACACCAAGAGCUGCAGCAUCACUCAGUAAUAGCUAUUUCAGAGGGAUGUAAAGCCUUCCCUGGGAAAAAGUUGAAUAGGACUCAGUGCCUAAACACAGCACUUUCAAAAAGAAAUGAAUCUCUAAUUAAACAUCCUGAAGACAGAAGCUGACAUGUCAUUGCAGAGCUAAUAAUAAGACCUCAUGAAAUGUUCAAAAGUUCUCCAGAGUAAGUGUGAACAAUUACAUUUCCCUCUCUCCAUCAGUGAAGGGUUACCACCAGUUCUUUAAGAAAGAGAAAAUGAAGGUUAGUAUCUGAAAGUAUUAUAUAAUGUGCUUAUUACUAUGCGUGGGUUGAGAUAUUCUCCAAAAAAAAGUUCCUUUUCCUUCCAGAAUUAAAAAGAACCCCUCUAACUUUUGUUAACUGUAGAUAGAAUCUUUUCUUUUUUUUUUAAGGAAGAAUCCUUACUGCAUGUCUAAAACUCGUGGCUGAGAAAAAGUAGAGGAUGUCCAGCCUAAGGAGCUAUCAGCAUUUUUUUGUAGCACUCGAUAUAGCUGCAAGCCAAGGUCCUCACGAAAGUGAAAGUUUUCAUUCAAAGUUAAAAACAUACUACUUGCAUUUUACAAGCUCAAGAGUAAAGCACAAUAAUUAUCAGUGCUUUAUUGGUAGUUCCAAGCCUCCAAAAAUGUCAGUAAGUUGAAUCUACACUAUCUUUGUACAAGAACAUAAAACAUAGCCUCGUGAUAAAAAUUAAAGGAAAGGAUAAAUUUGGUGAAUUCCCUGCAUAGUUCAUAAUAGAGAUUAGUCAACCCAAGUUACAAAGAUAAUUUUUGAGAUGAGGUAUCACUCUGUUGCCCAGGCUGGAGGGCAGUGGUGCCAUCAUAGCUCACUGCAUCCUGG